UACGUAGGGUGCGAGCGUUGUUCGGAGUUACUGGGCGUAAAGAGUGCGUAGGCGGUUUUCUAAGUUUGGUGUGAAAUCUCCCGGCUCAACUGGGAGGGUGCGCCGAAGACUGGAAGGCUAGAGUAUGGGAGAGGUAAGCGGAAUUCCUGGUGUAGCGGUGAAAUGCGUAGAUAUCAGGAGGAACACCUGCGGUGUAGACGGCUUACUGGACCAUCACUGACGCUGAGGCACGAAAGCGUGGGUAGCAAACAGG
rnacentral:rRNA from 1 species